rnacentral:rRNA from 1 species
ACGUAGGUGGCAAGCGUUGUCCGGAAUUACUGGGUGUAAAGGGAGCGCAGGCGGGAAAUCAAGUUGGAUGUGAAAUGUCGGGGCUUAACCCCGGAACUGCAUCCAAAACUGAUAUUCUUGAGUGAAGUAGAGGUAGGCGGAAUUCCGAGUGUAGCGGUGAAAUGCGUAGAUAUUCGGAGGAACACCAGUGGCGAAGGCGGCCUACUGGGCUUUAACUGACGCUGAGGCUCGAAAGUGUGGGGAGCAAACAG